rnacentral:rRNA from 1 species
UGGGGGAUGACGCCAAGUCCUCAUGGCCCUUAUGGUAGGGCUUCACACGUCAUACAAUGGUCGGUACAGAGGGUUGCCAAGCCGCGAGGUGGAGCCAAUCCCUUAAAGCCGAUCGUAGUCCGGAUCGUAGUCUGCAACUCGACUACGUGAAGUCGGAAUCGCUAGUAAUCGCAGAUCAGCAUGCUGCGGUGAAUACGUUCCCGGGUCUU